rnacentral:rRNA from 1 species
UACGUAGGGGGCAAGCGUUGUCCGGAAUUAUUGGGCGUAAAGAGCGUGUAGGCGGUCCGGUAAGUCAGCUGUGAAAGUCAAGGGCUCAACCCUUGAAUGCCGGUUGAUACUGUCGGGCUAGAGUCCGGAAGAGGAGAGUGGAAUUCCUGGUGUAGCGGUGAAAUGCGCAGAUAUCAGGAAGAACACCCGUGGCUAAGGCGGCUCUCUAGUACGGUACUGACGCUGAGACGCGAAAGCGUGGGGAGCGAACAGG